UUCUCUAUUUUCGGUGGUCACGAAAUCCGGGCGCUUGGAAGGUUGCGAUUUCAGAUUGGUAGAGGCGUGGGCAGAAACAAAAUUCAGAUUUUAUCUCCUCUUAAAAUACGAUCCUCUUUCUUUUUCUUUUCUAAUCUUUUGCUCCUUCUUCUUUCUCUAUUUUAGGUGGUCACGAAAUUUGGGCGCUUGCGCUUGGAAGGUUGCGAUUUUAGAUUGCUGGAGGCAUGGG